AAAAAUCUCUUAAGGCCUUUUUUCUCCUUUUACUCACAUUGAUGAAAAUCGUGAAUUACUUCACUGAAGGCAAUGGAAUGUCAAUAGAGUAAAAGUCAACACUAAAGGGUAUACCCUCAGCAGUCGAUUUAGCUGGUCCAUACUAGCCCCACCACUAAAUUGAAUGCCAGAAGAUCUGGAGCAUCAAUCUUCUAGAGAGAAUGUGUUAUGUGGAGACAUCAUGAUCAGCUGGGAAGAUAAGAUGUGAGCGCUCCACACUGGGCAAACAGGAAGUGAAAUUUUAGAAAGUCCUGGUCCUUUAGGGAAAAGGACAGUUGCCUGUGUGCUUGGAUGCAAGUCAGCAGAGUUUGAGUAGCUGACCAGAGUGGUCAAGAUGAGCAUUGUGGACCACCUGGAGGCCAUUUACAGCAGCAUAAUAAAAUGCAUGUCUAUACUAACACUUUCUAGAUCUAAUUUUGCUACAAAAAGC